rfam:Loxodonta africana unplaced genomic scaffold scaffold_72, whole genome shotgun sequence.
ACAUUGGUGGUUCAGUGUUAGAAUGCUCACCUCCCACGCAGGAGACCGGGGUUCGAUUCCCUGCCAAUGCA